UGAUGAUAAAUUACCAUUCAAAUUACUCAAAAUGAGCAAACAAGUGACAUUUACAUAUCUUAAGUUAAGUACUGUUAUAAAUGGACAUCAUUAGUACUAUCCAAAAAAAUCAUCAUCAGCACUACCCAAAAAGGACAUAGUUUAGCUAUUCAUAAAGAACAUCAUAGUCCAACAUUCACUCCUUAAGAGGAAACACGGACUGUAUCAGUCUCCUCUCCUCUGUUUCCAUCAUCAAAGAACAUUGUAGCCUCCAACUUCGGUUCAUCUAAAGAUAACUCAGCUAAUUCAAUUCCAACAACAUCAAGCGGGUCAUGCGCAUAAACCAAAUCUUCAACCCCUUUUUGGAUCCAUUUUAUUUCUUUUGAAAUAAUGAAUAAAAGAGUAAGUACUCCAAUUUUUUUCAAAACAUGAUGAAGAACAUACCUGAACUCCCAGCAAUUUUCAAUAAGUGAAAUCUUGCUCUAGAGUAUGAACUCCUCACCUCUUUUUGACAAAAGUUGCACCUCCAAAGCUUGUUUCCAUCUGCAGAAUCAUUAUUCUGCACCACAGUGACAGUGACAAAUCUCCAUAGUGGUUUACUAUCAUCUUGGGGGUUCUUUUGAAGCAAACGAACUAGUAACACUUUCUUCAAUUGAAGACAUAACUAUUAACAAAAGAAACAAUAAUAAAACAUUAACAAGAGGUUGGUAGUAUAAAUAAAAAGAAAAAAUAAAUCUAGGGUUUAUUGUUUACAUAUGCUAAAAACAAUCAUUAAUACAAACAAUCUUAUUAAGAAGAAAGUAAACAUUUUUUGUGAAACAAAAGAGAAGAUUAAAGAGAAAAGAAGAUAUUCAAAGGAGAAGAACAAAACAUUAGAGAGAAUGGAAAUAAAUAGAAAAUAGAGCAGUAGAGAGAAGAGAAUCAAA
rnacentral:lncRNA from 1 species